ACGUCCGGGGCUACACACGUGUUACAAUGGGGGGUACAGAGGGCCGCUACCACGCGAGUGGAUGCCAAUCCCCAAAACCUCUCUCAGUUCGGACUGGAGUCUGCAACCCGACUCCACGAAGCUGGAUUCGCUAGUAAUCGCGCAUCAGCCACGGCGCGGUGAAUACGUUCCCGGGCCUUGUACACACCGCCCGUCAAACCAUGGGAGCCGGGGGUACCUGAAGUGCGUAAC
rnacentral:rRNA from 1 species